rnacentral:rRNA from 1 species
UACAGAGGUCCCAAGCGUUGUUCGGAUUCACUGGGCGUAAAGGGUGCGUAGGCGGUCGGGUAAGUCUGACGUGAAAUCUUCAAGCUCAACUUGGAAACUGCGUCGGAUACUAUUCGGCUAGAGGAAUGGAGGGGAGACUGGAAUACUUGGUGUAGCAGUGAAAUGCGUAGAUAUCAAGUGGAACACCAGUGGCGAAGGCGAGUCUCUGGACAUUUCCUGACGCUGAGGCGCGAAAGCCAGGGGAGCAAACGGG